rnacentral:rRNA from 1 species
UGGAAUCGCUAGUAAUCGCGAAUCAGAAUGUCGCGGUGAAUACGUUCCCGGGUCUUGUACACACCGCCCGUCACACCAUGGGAGUUGGAAAUGCCCGAAGUCGGUGACCUAACCGAAAGGGAGGAGCCGCCGAAGGCAGGUCUGAUAACUGGGGUGAAGUCGUAACAAGGUACC